ACCCAAAAGGCUGGAAGGCUGGUUAAACCAUUUGGUUUUCGACCACUAGGACCCGGGUUCGAUUCCCGCAUUGGACA
rnacentral:tRNA from 1 species